rnacentral:piRNA from 1 species
GCAUAAAGAAAGUUGAAAAAG